GCGGAUGUGGUGAAACUGGUAGACACGCUAUCUUGAGGGGGUAGUGGAGCAAUCCGUGCCGGUUCGAGUCCGGCCAUCCGCA
rnacentral:tRNA from 1 species